rnacentral:misc_RNA from 1 species
AGUCAUCAACCCCCUCCCGUUUCGUGCGGGAGCUGGGGUUGGAGUUGGGGGCCUGCUGCCGUGAGGCGGCUCCCCUCAAAUGCAUCGGUUGGACCUGCGGGUCGGACUCGAUUGGGCGUUGUACCAUCCUCGCUCGACUGAGAAGUUCCCCUCUUGUGUCCUCCCACGGCCUGCCUCUGGAGUGGCGGUCAAUGUAAUUUGAA